rnacentral:tRNA from 1 species
GCCGGUGUGAUGGAAUUGGUAGACGUAGCGGAUUCAAAAUCCGCCGGUGGCGACAUCGUAUGGGUUCGAGUCCCAUCACCGGCACCA